AGGAGCCUGCGUGGAGGCCCGCAGAUGCCAGGAUGGCUUUGGUGGGGUGCCGCAGCCCCCUCGACUCCUCACUCAAUCCCUUCGCGUCGCAAACGGCCUUCGGGUUCCCUCCUUUUGUCGCCGAUCCUUCCCGGGACUCUCAGCGACUGCCCCCCAGCAGGCCGCUGAGCUACGGCAAGCGCCGAGGGCCAACCUCCGCGGCCGCUAGCGCUGCGCGUCCCUCCAUCCGCUCCAGCGCAGCCCGGCGCCGCGGAGGACUAAAUGCUGCAGUGUGGCUGAUCUAGUUUAGGAGGGCUCCUGGGGGGCCGGAAGGACCUCGGUCAAGCAGGGACAGCCUUCUCCACUUCUCCGUGGAGCCGUCGUGCUGCACCGACUCUCUCCCACGCCUGAGACACGCACGCGCGUGCAUCUCCCGGGACCGUUCACCCGCCCUCCCUUGCGCUUACCGGGACCUGCCGACUAGCCCCCAGCAUCCGGGCCCGAGUCCCCAAGAACUCUCGCCGCCGACGCCGCUGCUGCUCCUCGCUCAGUCCCGCCCCGGCUUAAAGCCGCGGCGUCCGCCCACCAGAACUAAGCUCGGGCGCACCGCCCCCAAGUGGGUGCGGCCUGGGCGGGCAGCGGGGCAGGGAGGGGCGGUCUGCCGCCUUGGGUGGGCGUGCUGUCCUUUUAAAUCAUCGCCUGGGUGACCUAUCUGCUGAGCACCUAGGCCGGUGGGGCUCUGGGCUGCUGCAGCUUCAAGAUUCGUCAUCGCCUCCACACCCAACCCCGUGUCCCUUUUCCUCGCAGGAACCAGACUGAAGGGUGAUUGACACCCGAAAUACCUCUCCAGUUGGUUCACUGUGUGUGUGUGUGUGUGUGUGUGUGUGUGUGUGUGUGUGUGUGUGUGUGUGUAUGUGUGGCCUUCAGGGCUGGACUUCCUUCCCUGAGAUUUUAUUUUUCCUCUUCCAGCAAUGCUGGGUG
rnacentral:lncRNA from 1 species